rnacentral:miRNA from 1 species
AGCAUUCGGCUCGCCGCGUCGU